AAUUCUCAACCAUGUCUUGAUCAAUUUCAAGAGCAUGGCUUGGAGUUUGGGGGUUGCUGGCGGCAAAAGGCUGUCAGCUCUCCUGAAAUGCAUUAGCAAUGGGUCGCUAAGUCUUUUGAUGUGCAUGGCCUUCGACGUGAUAAUGAUCGUCGUGGCUGGAGCGUCAAGUCGGACUCAUGCAUGAAUGGCCUAGCAUUGCUUCUAAUCCAGAUCCUCUCGUCUCAGAACCAGCGGGUGAGCUUCAAGUAUUAGCUACUAGUCGGUCGUCAGGCCAGCGAACACUAGUACAGCACAUCUAGCUUUCUGGGCGAGUCAUGUUCUCUUUCGAA
rnacentral:misc_RNA from 1 species